AAAUAAACCAGUUUGUAAAAUACACAAUAAGUCAACAAGUUUCAGUUCAACCCACUUCACCAUGUUCCCCGCUGUGCUGGUCUCGGUCACGCCGAGUUAACGGUGAAGCACCAUGUAAUAUGCAAGCUAAAGUUAGAGUUAGCCAUCUGCUAUUAGCCUUGCUGCACUGUUAGCCGUGCCAGUAACGGUAGAAUGAACAACAGUACACAUUACGUAAUCGAGCUACUUCUCCCUCUUCGGGCCCUAGUACACUCAGGACUAUAUAUUCUCUUGCUUUAACAGUAUGGCUUGUUUUUCAGCCGAUGAUCCAUGCAGAUUAAAACAAACACCACUAAUUAUUUGCAAACGAUGGUACAGCGACUAAACAGGCAAGAGAGAAGAGCACAAGUGUACAAAUUACACGUUUGCAAGCAGCUUUAAAAAUUGAGUGUGACAGACAAGCAAAAAAAAGUGCCACAACCUUUAAACAACAGCUCUAUUUUAAGCUCCUGUCAGUUAUUUCAAGCUGUAGUGCAACCAACGAGACCCCCUGUAAAGGUGUCUGGGGACAAAAUUGGACCCAUCCAAGACCAAAGUACUGAUGCUAACAUUUUGUGAAGCUGGUUUGACACACACAUACUCAUGCGCACCCCUAUGGGAGGGCACGCUCGAAGGGCUCAUCCAAUCUGUCAGCGUUCUGCCAGCAUGCUCCCCUCUCCCUCUGCGACAUGACCUGCACGCAAACAGAAGCUUUCACCAAAUAAUCACACUGCGAGGCUUUGAAAUAUGAUGUGCUCUUUUUUUUUAUUUUUUUUUUUAUGUUUGCAGCAUCAAUACUUCACAGAUUUGAACGAGCUGAGGGUGGAAAGUCAAGCAGGACGAGCUCAAAUUAGUCAAUCAGCUGGACAUGCGGAUUUAACUAGAGUGGAGUCAUUUGAGGCAAAAGCAGGGUCCAAAAGUUGAAGUCCUGGUCCCUUUUUCCUACGUGUUUCAAAGUAGAUUAAAGGCCAAGUCAUGAAUCUUUCCAAGUUAAGCUCAAGUAUUAAAGACGGGAUAAAAAUAUCAGAGUGUAUGAUCAAAAGUUAAAAAGAUUCAGGCCGAAUUGCAUUAAAACUUCAUUUGACAAGUCUAGAAUUACAAACCCCAAUGUCCCAACUUCAUUGGACUUGGAGUUUGAAGACAGAUGAAGCCUCUUUACUCUUAAAUUAAAGCCAAAUAAAGUUAAGUUAACGCCACAUAUUUGGGUUAAUUUAGAAGCACUAUUAUUUCAGAGUCUAAUUUUGCAAAACGUCUUAAGUGAGUACACAGUUUGAAAUGCAUUGCAUCACUUAUGCAAAGUUUAAUGUAGUAAGUAUGUGUGAUGCAAUCUCUUUUAUAAAUUGGCUCAGAGCUUUAAUGUUCCCAGACUGAUGCGUUUGGGGAUGUAGAGUCGCUCAGAGGCACAGCAUUUGACUGCAGAUUCAGAGGUCUGAGGUCCGUCUUCUGAUGCAGAGAAACAGCAUCGCUCUUAAUGUUCAAAGAGGUUUUUUCCCCCUUUUGCCAUGAGCUCUCUGCGGUUCGCCAUGUCACCAUACCUGCGCAGCAUGCUUAACCCAUACCCCGUGCGAGGGUAUCUUCAAAAAUCUUCAAAAUCAAGAGGAAUUUCUCCAGAAACCCUUCGUUUAAACUCCCCUCUGUUAUUUUUCAAAGUAAACUUUUGGUCGAGCAUGAGCGUCUCUUACAGACUUUUAAUUUCACAGCAAAUCAGAAUAAUUCCACAGAGAGCGGCGAGAUGAUAGCUUGUCAACUGCUUGUAAUAUCUUCCACUCGCUUAUCUAUUGUGACAUUUUUUUUCUUUUUUUUUCCACGGACCAUCCAUCGUAUCAAAACAAAACACCUGGGCAACCACGCAAAACAUUACCAUUCAAAUUUGCCGUCCAACUUUUUAUUAGUUUGCGGACUCAGAUUUCAUGCAAGGGGCAUUUUUUGGCACUUAAAAUUCUGUCAUACACUGACAGGUGCUGAAAAAAUCCACAGGAUUAAUGCAAGAUUUAAAGUUCUGGCAAUUCUCCCUGUGGGAAGUUGUCCUGGAUUUAUUUCCACUCAUUCAUGCAGAGACGACUAAAUAUUAAAAGUAAGUAUGAGAUUCAUUUAAGUGGCGAAGUCCUGCUUCACUGCAAGACCUGGAUGGCAUCCAAGUUUCCUCUUAGUGGAUAGUUUAGGUUCAGAGUUAAUACACACUGUGUUAUUUUUAAAGACUACAGAGAGGGGCGGCUGCUACAGUAAGAUUUUUAGGGUGUAUAAGUAUCAAGGAAGUGAAAAUAGUUCAGGAUUCUGCGCAAAAAAGAACAGCCAUGAUGUGGUGGUCAAGAUGUAGUCAAAGGGGCAACUGUUGUUUCCAGUUUCACUGCCUGCACAUCAAGUCAGCUCCUGGAUCCUUCUGCUACUGAGCCAUACUAUUGCAAUACAUGCAGAAUGUAGUUUUACAUUUUCUUAUUGUCAUAUGCAAAGUCUUCUUCACUUUCCUUCAGUCCACCUUAAAUAUGCCUGGACCACUAGAGGUCACUAGCAGUUAUUUUACUAUGUGUGUAUAUGUUUUUUCUUCUUUGCGUUUUUCAGUUUCGACAAUAUUUUUGGAUGCAGUAAUGAACAAUGUGGGUUUUUUUUAGAUGAUUUUUAAGGGUCACACGGGGACUGCCACUACAGAGUUAUGUCUGUUUUGUGUUCUAAAGGCGUAAACAUGGGUUUGUCACCUUUGUGCAGAGGCUUCUUUAGGGGACAGCUGUGUAUAUGUAGCUGCAUUUACAUGGACAGAAAUGAUUGAUGAGCGUUUGGAUUAUUUGAUUUUGCACCCAUAUAAACAGUGGAGUCAGAUUUUCCAAUCCCUUAGAUUUUCAAUCAGAUCAAGAAACUUUCUACAUGUAAACAUCGCUUUUUUGUGGUAGUGUUAGUCGUCUCCCAAUCGAAAGGUUGGGGGCUUGAAUUCAAGUCAGUGGCAUAUGAUAUUGAAGUGGUCAGAAGUAGGGCCCAACUGCUUUAUCAACAGCCCUAUUAAAUCGGCCAAUUUUAGCCCAUUUGAGACUAAUCGGCCAAAACGCGCUAAUAUGCGAGCUAAAGUUAGAGUUAGCCAUCUGCUAUUAGCCUUGCUACACUGUUAGCCGUGCCAGUAACAGUAGAGUAAACAACAGAACACAUUACGUGAUCGGGCUACUUCUCUUACUGAGGCAGCUGCACGUCUCCAGAUGAGACCGGAACGGAAAUGUGUAACGUGAGUUAAGACGUGGAGACACCGAUCGGAGGCAGCAUGAAGAGCAGUAGCCUACAGUAUAUCUACAGUACAUAUAUAUAAAUUUCAUAACUUAAUAAAAAAUUUAAAAAAAUCUGCUGAAUAAUCGGUAAUCAGAAUUUUUUACCCCCUUAUAAUUGGUCGGGCCCUUGUCAGAAGGUUGGAGAAAACACUACAUCAACAGUCCGUAUAAAACAAUCCAUUUUCCAGAUUUGUUGACUCGUUUGAGAUACUAUGUGCUGUCGAUGAUAAAAAUCAUUUUUUUUCAUUACUCAGCAUUAUUUUAUUAUUAAAUAAAUAGUUCAAUGGUUUGAAAACCUUCAGAUCAGCUUUUAUAACCGUUUUUACACAGCUGGAGAAACCCUCUUAGAGGUCCUCGCUUACAUGUCAGUAUUUGCCCUAAAGGAUUAGAUCAAAGUCAUUCAGCCAUGAUAUGACUGCUGGUGAAAGCCCUCCUUACUCCACAGCCUCCUCAGAAAUCUCCAAAGGACUUCUACCUCUUACUUGCUAACACAGGUAACCGUUUUCUUUUCGUGAAGUUGGGGGGAAAAAAAAUCUGGAAUUUCCCUUUAAUAAAAAAUCCAUUUACAUACAUAAUUCAGCAAACUUGCUGCACUGUUUUGCAUCACAUGUGCCUAAUGCAUCAUCACCAUCUUAAAAAGCGCUCUAUUGGCAACGCCCUCAUACAUGACAUGCAUCCCAAUCCAUAUUAAUGAUUGCAGCUUGUUAUGGCUGUUACUGCCAGAGAAUGCAGACAUUUAUUAACCUCGGGUGUCCAUUCCAGACACAUAUAAACACAUUUAUUAUUGUAAGUGGCGUCAAUAAGCCGACCUUUGUUGUGUGUGUGUUUAGCGUGAAUGAUUUAGCGCCGUGUCCAGAAAUGACAGUCCUGCAGGGCCGGUACUUAUUACAUGUGCCGAUGUAUGAAUACUGAUUUGGUUUUUGCCUUUGAGAUCAUAUGAUGAUGAGUUUUGGUUUGAUUAAUACACAGUCUGGAGAAAGAGUAUCUGCCAGACUCAAGUUUUUGCUCCCAUGAGUUCUCCCUCAUUAGCAUAUAAUAUCAUUUCCCCUCCACGCUGCCUUUGAUAUGCCACAAUUUUGUUUCAAAGAGAGCCGCGGAAACUUUCAAAGUGAAGCUCAGUCAAGAUUCAUUUCUAAACUGCAACCCUGAGGAAACAGCAUAUUUCUGUCAACUCACCAUGUAUCUUAAUUUACAUGUAGAUUUAAAUUGUAAACCACUUCGGCUUUGUAUUUUCAUUUUUGUCUUGACUUGAGGAAAGUUGUGAAUCAUUUUACUGCAGUUUUGAUGAUAUUUACUUGCAACAUUAAUUCUAAAAAAGUAAGGAUGCUGGUAAAAUAUAGAUAAACAGAUUUUGAGGGUUUGCACAUAAACCCAAAUCUGAUAUUUCAAUGAAAAUGGUGCAAAGACAUCAUGUUUAAGAAAAAAAGUACACCAAGUUUGAUGCCAGGAAAACAUAACAGCAUUAAAAGAUCCAAAGAAGCAGGAGAAAUUGCUUUUAAAAGGAACAAAACAACUAAACAUCACGAGACUGGCAUGACCUUGGCCCUCUGCGUUAAAAACAGGGACGUUAAUAAUUUUUUUUGAACCCGUAUCCUGUCAAUACAAGCGUUCACAUCAGCGACGUUUUCCCAUCCUGCGAUAUUGCAGCUUUCUUUUUGUAUCACUAUCAUUUUCUAAAGUUUCACAAACUGUGUGUCCACUUCUGACCAAUCAGAUUUCGUGUUGUUGCGACAUCUGAUUCACCAGUAUAUCCAACAUGGUCGACAGGCUGAUUGUUUACGUGUCGGAGAACAGAGUGCUCUUUGAUAAAAAACACAAAUAUAACAAAGAUAACGACCUGAAGAACAACUUGUAAAGAGUCAUAGUGUCGGAUUUCUCAUAUGACGAUGGUUUUUGUGCUUUAACAGUUUGCUAAACGUCUUUGUUUUAACUUUCAUCUGUGCUAAGUAACUUUAGCUCGUAAGCUAACCUGUUCAGAUACAACAUACCAUAUGUAUUUUCACUGUCUCAAACUCAACCGCGUUGCUGUCACAGCACCAUUAGGUCUCGGUUGUUACCUUAGGUUUAUGGAUUAUAGUUUAAUGUGCUUAUCUGGUACUGGCCCCGACUCAGUACAUGCUAUCAUGACAGACAGACAUCUCAACAUUAGUGUCUAAUCAGAACUGAAAAACAGUCAAUCUGGUGUUGAGUCAGUCUUCCUGCUUCCACCCGGGAUGCGUCUUUUUUCCCCCCGGAAAGUCGCAAAAUCGCAUCGUGCUUGAUGUGUAUGGUCAGGCAUGUCAAAAUUCACCUCAAAAUAUUUCAUACUUACACGUCGUAUAUUUGCGUUUUUCUUCUUUGCAAUACAAAGCUUGGCGCAGCAUCCACAAAUUCAGGAUAAGCAUGUACUUGGUUUGAUCUCUCCAUCUAAGGACUUAUUUAUCAAGCUUAUUAUGCUAUCCUUUGUCAUUUUUCUGAACAUGCUUGUGUGCGGCCAUCAAACACUAUUAUCUAGGAUCAGCAGUCUCACUAGAUCUAACAUAUGACAGUUCAAAAUCUCUAACAGCUAAUUAUAACCCCAUAUUGUUUGCUAUUGACUCGGAUCCCUAGAUACAAUUGCUGCAUCUGUGAUUGUGUGUCAUCCCCGGGAGAUUUGAUGGAUUGUGCGGACGGGAGCUGCUUUCACCCACAGGUUGAAAAAAAAAAGAAAAAAAGAAAAGUCAGCAAUUUAGAGCACUCUGACAAUUAGCGACAGUGUGCGUGUGGGCGUACUGUAUGCGCCCUGUUCCUGCUGUGUAUGUGCCAUGCAUAUUCAGUGUUCAUGUAUGAAUUCAUGAGGGUUUCUCGUGUGUGCGUGUGCACAGGAAUGCUCAGGCCCUUGGGUGCCCCAUGCAUCCAUUACAUUACAUCUUAUUUAAUGAAAGCUUGAUUAAUUGCAGGGCCGUGCCUUCUUUGUCUCUGCAGCUUCAGGCCCUUACAAUAAUAUAAGAAGUCAUUAUGCCUGUUGUUAUAAUUAGCUGUAAAAUGCAAGUUAUUUCCCAUUAAGAUACCAAUAAAUGCAGGCUGAGAACACUCCACGCUUGUGUCUCUAGGAAAAAAAAAAGUGGCCAAGUUUUAUGUAAAUAGGAAUUGUUCAAAAACACAGCAAGCGCUGGCGCUGCUAUUUUAAUUGCAGAUGCAUCCUCUGUCAGCUUCUGUGAUGACUUUAUGGAUGCAGAUAUGCAAACAAUGCCCUGCCUCAAGAUGAAAAGUUGCAUAUUGUACGUGUAAACCCCCUUUUUCGUGGCCAAAAAUUUGCAUCCUAAGCGUAGAAGCCGGGGCUCAAACUGUGAUUUGAUGUGAGGUGACUGAUGGUGUGCUCGUAGGAGAGAAAAUGGAUGUGAAAACAUCUGCAUACUGUGAGUGUCUCUGUGUGGCUACACGUGUUUGUGUGCAAAGAGUGUGUAUUAGAGCUGAUAGACAUACAGUACCCUGGUUCUGCCUAUGUGGAGUCAUAGAUAUAUGAAUUAGGCAGCGGCCUAGAAGGAGAUCAAAAAGCAGGAUCAGCAGACUUGAUCUCCUUUUGACUGUUUCGUAUUCUGUUUCAUCCUCCACCCCCGUCCACAUCCCUCCUCCCUCCUUUCCUUCCUCAGACCUGCUCCUCUUCUGUGAUCUGCAGACUGCGGCCAUGGGAACUCCCCAGGCUGCUUUGAUCACAAGUAUUAUUUGUUUUUCUCCGACACGAUCAAUGAGAAAUUGAGCGGUCAGACUUGGUCAGACUGGCCUAGGGCGGAUCAGGUCAUGGUCUUCAAGAGUUUGACUCAUUUCCAGUUUCAUCCCCUCUGGAGGGUACAAACUCCCAGUCCAAUAUAGGAAACUUUUGGUUUACUUAAGACUGUACUACACACACUGUCAGUCUCCAAGACGAGAUGUGUAAAACUCUCAAAGACUGUGUAGGUAGCAAAUUAAAUGCGCCUCAAAAUAGCCACGAAAAAACCGCAAUCAAAGCGGCCACUACUCCAGUUGUGUCGCUUGACAGAUGAUUGAAAGAUGAAUGAAAGGUAUGGAAGCAAGUUUAGGACGAUCUAAGAAGACUGACAGCUCCUCAUUGCUCGACGUACGUCACUGAUAUGACAGCUCGAGUAAAAUGACGAUGUCUCAAAGAAGGAAAGACAACCAUCAUCUUUUUCUAAGAACGAGCUGUCCGUCUAAACAUGACAUGGAUUACUUUCUCGUUUGUUACAGAACAUAGGAAAUGUUUGAGGAGGUGUGUUCAACAGCUUUUGUUGAGUAUGUUCAAAACUUGGCCCAGUUUUUCCAAAUAGGAUCACUGUGUGGGCUGUAAAAAUGUCCAUGCUUGCUUUUUUUUUUUUAAUUUUACUUAUCACUAUGAAUCCAUCUUCUACAUGUAUAUAUCACCAUUCUAUAGCCCACAUUUCACCCAUACAUACAUACAGUAGGUCAACAAGUCAUCCAACCACCCAUCUAUUCAUAUUUUCAUUCUUCCAUUCAUGUAUACAUUUAAAUAUCUAUCCAUCUAUCCUUCUACAAAUUACAUUAUCAUACAACCAACCAUGUUUUCAUCACCAAUCAUCCAUCUGAGUUUUGAUCCUUCAUAUCCAUCCUUUCAAAUAUCCAUCAAUUAAUAAUCCAUCUAUUUGAUUAUCUAUCACCAUUAAUUCACUUAUCCAUUUAUCAUCCAUUCAUCAAACAAUGCAUAAACCCUUCUUUCCAUCAACUUACUUUUUCCAUCAUCUAUCCAUCCACUUACUUUUCCAUCCAUCCAUCCAUCCACUUAAUUUUUUCAUCCAUCCAUCCAUCCAUCCAUCCAUCCACUUAAUUUUUUCAUCCAUCCAUCCAUGCACUUACUUUUUCAAUCAAUCAAUCAAUCCAUCCAUCAUCCAUCCAUCCACUUACUUACUCCAUCCAUCCAUCCAUCCAAACAAUCACUUACUUUUUUAAUCCAUCCAUCCAUCCGUCCAUCCAUCUACUUACUAUUUCCAUCCAUCAAUCCAUCUAUCCAUCCAUCUUUUCAUUCAUCCAUCCAUUCAUUUUCCACAUCCAUUUACUUUUUCCAUCUGCUUUUUAUCCAUCCAUUCAUUUUUUUCUAUCCAUCCAUCCAUCCAUCCAUCCAUCCAUCCACCUACUUUUUCCAUCCAUCUCCUUUUUCAUCCAUCCAUCUAUCCAUCCAUCCAUCCAUCUAUCCACCUACUUUUUCCAUCCAUCUCCUUUUUUCAUCCAUCCAUCUAUCCAUCCAUCCAUCCAUCCAUCUAUCCAUCUACCCGUCCACUUACUUUUUUCAUCCAUUCACUUUUUCAUCCAUCCAUCUAUCAAUUAUCCAACCCUUUCAUCCAUCCAUAAAUCAUUAUACACAUUCACACACAUACUCUGUCAUCUUUUUUUAAAAUCCAUCCAUCCUUUGAAUCAUCCCUUUAUCCAUGUGUGCUGAAACACUUCAGCGUGUCUUGAGGGGAGAUAUUUCAGAGAUCUAACUCCUUGUGGCAUCUUUCACUGGGAAUCAUCAGGGGUAAGAGGUCAGAAAAUAAAGCCUGAAGAACUUUGCUUUGGUUUAGUUUAAAUGAAAGAAAAAGAUUAGAGGUUCAGCAAAAAAAGAAAACUGUCGAAAAAUUCGAUCCUGCUUUGUAAGCUCAUCAGAUCCAAACCAGCUCAGCUUCUCCAGUAACUCAUACAUAUAACCUGGUAAUAACUCAAAGCUCAUGACUACACUUUGGAGUGUCCGCAUUUAUCAGCUAAGAGCUUUACCAUUGGGUGAAAGGUCUUGUUUCAGUGCAACAGUUAAGGCCCCUAGCAUGUAUUUCUGCUGACACAACACCAAUCAGCCAUUCCAUUCAAAAGUCCCAAGGGACCUGUUAGCUUAGGGCCGCAACAGACUCUGAACCCUGAAGGUGCAAUCUGCCCAAGAACAGUGGUCUUAAUCUUGAGGGUGAUUACUCUUGACCUGAAAGCUUUAUAGUGGGUUACAUAAUCAUCAUGUAUUGGAUGUUUAUAAGAAAAUUCUUAGAUGUCUUAUCUUGUCAUUUAAGGUAAUCUUGUCUUCUUUAAUAGUGGAAAUGCUCUGUCAGCACUAUCAUUAUUCAGCGUUUUUAACUAAAGGUCCUUACACACCAGGAACGGCACAAAUAUAUGACGCAAAAUUACAAAAUAUUCAGAGGCGAAUUUUGACACGCCUGACCAUACACAUCAAGCGCAAUGCAAUUUUGUGACUUUCCGAGGGGGAAAAAGACGCAUCCCGUACCAGAUAAGCACAUUAAACUAUAAUCCAUAAACGUAAGGUAACAACCGAGACCUAAUGGUGCUGUGACAGCAACACGAUAGAGUUUGAGACAGUGAAAAUACAUAUGGUAUGUUGUAUCUGAACAGGUUAGCUUACGAGCUAAAGUUACUUAGCACAGAUGAAAGUUAAAACAAAGACAUUUAGCAAACUGUUAAAGCACACAAACCAUCGUCAUAUGAGAAAUCUGACGCUAUGACUCUCCACAAGUUGUCCUUCAGGUCAUUAUCUUUGUAAUAUUUGUGUCUUUUAUCAAAAAGCACUCUGUUCUCCGACACGUAAACAAUCAGCCGGUCGGCCAUGUUGGAUAUACCGGUGAAUCUGACGUCGCAACAACAUGAAAUCUGAUAUGUCAGAGGUGGACACACAGUAUGCAACACUUUAGAAAAUUUGACCAUGAUACGAAAAAAUAAAUGCUGCAAUAUCACAGGAUGGGAAAACGUCGCUGACGUGAACGCUUGUAUUGACAGGAUACAGGUUCGAAAAAAAAUAUCUACGUCCGGAAUAAUCACAGGAAAAAAACGCUCUCGGUGUGUAAGGACCUUCAUACUGCAACCUCUACAUGUUCAAAUGCAGCUCUUCAACAGUUUCUACAUUCAUACCUUUUUACCUUUUCAGCAGCUCUGCACAUUUUCUGCAAGGAAACACAAUUUAUCUAAUUUGGUAUAAAUACCCAGUGAUUAGAAGGUCAUGAGAAUAAAGUAUUAAUUAGUGCUUUUAAUGACUAAUUAAGAGCCAAUGUACUCCAAUAAACACUUGCUUGUCCUUGUAAAAAGUUUAAACCUUUUGUCAUUUUUCACCCAGAACAUUUGGUUUUAGAGCUUCGGUUCGACAAUUUUUUUAACAGGUUUUCAAUGUUUCACAAUCUAAUUAAAAAAAUCGCCUUUCAGGUGUUUUGCUAAACUGAAACGGAAGAAAUGACUUCCUGUUGCAAGGACACUGGCAAAACCAGGACCUAUUUUUUUUUCGUUUUUAUUGCUCUUUAUGAGUAAGGAUUCACAAUGAACCGCUGUGAUCUGUGUCCUGCGAGAACAACUGAAUUGCAGUUACAUUUAAUUCAAACGGACGGUGUGUGUAAAUUCAAGGUAAUGUGCCUAAUUUGUGAAUGAAAACAGCUUUGGGACUAAUAUGAGGUGGACUGUUUAUGACCAUAGCCAAAAUGCCAAAAGACCACUGGGCGAACUGACCAGUCUCAGAGCAUUCAUAAUACAUGCUAAUUAGAGUCAUACAUUCUGUGCACACAGGCUGUAGUUUUCCUUCUUUUAAAUACCAAUCAGCAAGAAUAAAGUUGUGUUUACAGACGCUCAUUAGUGUGGCCAUUUUGUCAAGCAGUUCCAAGUUGUUGUUUCAAGUGAGCUUUUUGGUGUCUCUUGAAGUUGGAGGUCAUGUCGGGUUGCUCUCUAAUUGGGUGUCAAGAGGAUUCUAAAUAUUUUCACACCCACACAGCAGACACAUUCACACACAUUCACACACACACACCAAAUACAUCUUGCUUUAAUUGGUCAAAUAGGCUUCCCUGGCCGGUAGUACAAAAUCAUAAACCCUUACACACACACAUAUUGUGGUGAUGUACAGUAGAAGCCCCUAAUAAGGAUUUGUCAGGCCUGUAGAUUUGCAGAGCAGUGGAGGAAAACCGCCUUUGCCGCUCCAGAGACAGGCCGCUGAAGCGAUUCAACUUUGACUAGUGCGGUCGUGGCUGUUCCCCACACUUACAGCCAAUUAAAAUGCAACAGAAAGUGGGGCAGACAAUCAGACACGCCGAGGUGUCUUUUUUCAACUUGUUGCGAAAUUUGCGAGACAAGUUCCCUCAGUUGUUUCUGUAAAAGCUGCAGAGAUGUAAUGGAUUAUUUAUCAUCGAUGUGCCGCACUGAGAAGCAGGCCUGGAGUUAGAACUCUGAGAGAAAGGCAGGGAUUGAAAAAUAGGCCCAAACAACAAGAACUGCCAAGUAAAUCCUGACUCACAAGGUGUUUACCUUAUUUUACACCAACAUCAAUACGUACACUGCAGAUCCCCUCACUCCUCAUUGAAACACCUGCUUACCAAUAUAAGAAACACCUCUAUCAGCAGGUACGCAGAUACCCGACAAUUAACAUCAUCAUUAUGCCAGCUGUUUUUAAAAAUACCUGAAAUAAGAAUAAAAAAAGCAACAAAUAGGUAUUAUUAGAUAGCCGACAUUAAAUUAUUUUCAGUUUCAUGAACAAAAACACACACUCCCACAUUCUGUCAAAUUUACUUUCAAGUGCUUACAAGAACCAGUCGAUACCCGAGCCAGCCUCUCUUUUCAGAGCUCGUCACUUUGUAUUACCGACACGUGUUAGGAAGAAAACAGUCUCUGAAUACCAAAGUUACCUCCAAAUAAACACGUAAACACUGGCACUAAUGUGAAAUAGCCCAAGACGAAAUGUAGCAUGACAUAUUAGAUUAACUUCAGCUUGCAUGAUAGGUAAUGAGAAGAAAAUUCAUUAUACAGCAGUGAUAGAAAAACUCUGUUUAGUGUAAGUGAAUGAGCUUCUCUUUUCAUAUAGUCCAAGCUGUACUCAGUACUUGAUCGAGGCUCCUUCUCCAUCAGAUUAAUGUAGUGCAGUGUUUCCCCUGGGGAGUGGGGGUCGCUGUUACCCCCACUCUCUUGCUGCUCGAAAAGCUACGCUGUUAUGUUGCGUUACGUUUCCCGCGCUAUAUAGCUAUGUAUAACUUUAAACGUUAUUCUUCACAUUAAUGGAAGAGGGUCUGACAGGAUUUGAUGCGCUCAUUGAUGAUCCAUAACAAGUCGAAAAUAAUGUCGUGUGUUGUUGUGCUUUCACAGUUCGAGUAGAAAUCAAUCGUGGCGCAUUGCUAUUAAUGCUACUAAUGCUACUAAUGCUAUUAAUGCUACUUGCUAUAUAGACUGUGUAUAAGCUUGAACGUUACCUUUCACGUUAGUGGAAGAGGGUCCGACAUGAUUUGAUGCGCUCGUUAGAGGGAGGGGAGUGGAAAUAAAUUGUGGCGUAUUGAUAUUAACUCUACUAAUGCUAUUAAUGCUACUCGCUAUAUAGACUAGGGCCCGACCGACAUGGAUUUUUUGGGGCCAAUGCUGAUACAGAUUAUUAGAGGGGAAAAAAUCUGAUUAGUGAUUAAUCGGCCAAUUUUUUUUUUUAAAUUAAAUUAUAUAUUUUUUUAAAAUGUGUAUGUAAUGUGUACUGUUGUUUAUUCUACCGUUACAGGCACAACUAACAGUGUAGCAAGGCUAACAGCAGAUGGCUAACUCUAACUUUAGCUUGCAUAUUACAUGGUGCUUCACCGUUAACUUGACGUGACCGAGACCAGCACAGCGGGGAACAUCGUGAAGUGGGUUGAACUGAAAUUCGUUGUCUUAUUGUGUAUUUCACAAACUGGUUUAUUUACCGUUGAGGUGGACCACUCUCCUCCGUGCGUCCCUGAGCUGUCUGCUCCAGAUCCGUCACUCUGCUGUGCUGUGAGGUAGUUAGUGGAUGAAGAUUGUCAUGAGGUCGCUGCGCCAUCUACUGGAUAAGUUGGGGGAUCUUUUCAAAAGGCAGAACAUUUUCGAAGUGAAACUGAAUCUUAUUCUCCGCAUUUUAUUUCUGAAAAAUAUCGGCGAAAAUUGUUGAGUUUGGGCCGAUUAUUGAUUAGUCUCAAAUGGGCUAAAAUUGGCUGAUUUAAUCGGCUCGCCAAUAAAUCGGUCGGGCCCUAAUAUAGACCGUGUAUAAGCUUGAACGUUACCUUUCACAUCGAUAGAAGAGGGUCCGACAGGAUUUGAUGCGUUUGUUGAUGAUUCAAAACAAGUCGGAAAUAACAUUGUGUGUUGUUGUGCUUACACAGUGCGAGUAGAAAUCAUUGGUAGUACAUUGAUAUUAAUGAUCAUGUGAAAUUUCAGUAGCGGCGCACGUAAUUCAGCAGUCGCUUUAACUUUGAUGACUUUGAUUGUUGGCUCUCAUCUUUCUCUUCAUGGUACUCCAAAGAGCCUCCAUUUCUGGCAGUUUUGGCGCUGAUAUGAAUGAAAAAGGAAAUCUGAAUCUCUGUAAAGCUUUCUCAGCAGAUGGAAGCAUGAAGAGCUCGAGAAUCUCAGUUGGUUGACUCAAGACUUGACACUCUUGGACCUUGAUUUACAAACAAGAUGCGAAAUUUACUUGCAACUAAAGCAAGUAAGUAGUCAAAUGCUUUUUUCUCUCUGGUUCAGGAGUGGCUUGACAGAAAAAAGAAAUACAGCACUUGUAGUCCAUUUCCUGGACCCAUCUGUGUGUAGAGGCUCUUGAUACUCCCACUCCAGCCUCAGUCCACCCUUGUGAAGCUCUCCUUGAGUCUGCUUUGUUCGAUGAUCCUCUCAAGGCUGUGCUUAUCCCAGCUUUCAAGCUCCCAUAAGGAGUUUUUAACACUGAUAAAAUUCAUACUGAUGCUUUUUCACGACAUUUUCAAAAGCAAACAAGAACAUCAGAGACAGGACUCAAGAUUUUCAUGUCCUAGUUUUAAUGCGAGGGAGGUAGGUGUCAGCUGAGGAGUUCCUCAUUGGAGCUUUAAGGGGAACCUUAUAAGAUCUUACUACACAUAUAGGCGAAAUAUUCUUUUAUGUCUCCCUCAGGCAAUAAUUGGGCUUAAAGUAUUCGAUGAGUGGCUCCAAGUGUGAAAGGGGGAAAAAAAGUGAUAUAAAAAGCGUUAUAAGAGGACCUAACAUGGAUCUAUCGAGCAGCAUCACGCUCUGCAUGUAAUCAUAUGUGCAGUCAUGAAUGUGCCACGACUGAUAUAUUUUCUUAGAGUGAAAUGCAGCAGAGAAAUUCUCAGAGCGAUAAAUCCAAUCCUUCCUUAUCUGAUUUGACUGCAGUGUUGUCUCAAUCCAACAUCUUUUUCUUCUUUCAAUACCAUGAAAAACACAUAAAACAACCUCUUAAAGUGAUCUUUCCAUUUAAUUAAACGUCCAAUUCUUCAACAUGAAGACUGUGAGACUUCCUCAGAGAAAGCUUGUAAAUACAUAUUACAGCCAAAAGUCUAAUAAAUGUCCUACACCAUGUUAGGUAAGGAAAUGCAAGUAAAUACAUGCCAGAUGUAAUAGUCCCUUUUAGUAUUGUUCACUAUUUCUCCUUUUAGCACACAGACUCAAGGCGGUACAUAAAAGUCAUGCACCAGUGGAAGAAAGCGGAGGGAACAGCGAGAACCAUAACUUCAAUCAAAUGUCCCCGUAUAAAGAGAGGAGGAAUAUUUGAACUCAAAAAAUCUCAAGUUAUGACUCAGGCACCUGCAGUGCAGAUGUUUAAGCCCUUUUAUGGCACAGAAAAACGCUUCACAAAUAUGCUCAGGCUAAUCAAAAAUAAGAGGUUAAAUUAGGGGAACAGAUUGUGCAACAAAGCACAAAUAAGAAUUUGGGAUAAAUACGCUAUUAGCAUAUGUGAGGCGCUCCUAAAUUUUCAGCUGGGCUGAGUAGGCACAAAUCUCAUCAGGCGGCGACAGCAAGAGGAGGACUAGGUGGAUUUAGCGGCUGUGAGCCACCGUUUUUUUUUCUCUUUUUCUUUUUUUCCCCCAGUUUGAAAACAACAGCAGAGUGACGAAGACGUUUCAAAAAACAACACGUUCCUUCUGUUCCCAUCUGUAGCUCGCGUCGUCUGCAGAGUAAUUUGGGAUGAUGCACUCGGCGGUGAGCUCCUAUUUUACAUUUAUCACGGCCCUAAUGCAAUCACACACACCGAGAUAUUAGGGAGGAGAGGAGUGGGGUGGAGCGGAGCAGGGGGGAGCAUGGCCGGGGAUGAAUCCCAGCAGCUCUCUGAGAGUGGGGAAACAAAUCUACAAGUGACAUUCGAUUCCAGCUGACAGCUUCUUAUAAACACUGGCUUAUGAGGUGAUUUAUACCAGUUCAUAGGAGGGCAGUGGGAUUUUUAAAAGCUCUCACGCCACUUCAUAACACCUACCAGUCUCGCUCAUUUAUCUUCCUCAAACUUGGCCUUGUCAUUCAUUUUCGUUUUCUUCCACUCUCAAAAACAAAAGAUAUAGAUCAUGGCUAAAACUGAAAUUGAAAAUAGAUAACACAGCACAAACUCUUAAGUAACCAAAAAAAAAAUCUGCUUUUAUAACAAACAAACAUAGAAAAGUUAGAAAAGAGAAAAAGAAACAUCUUUGACCCGGUGUUUCUCUCCUCAGCUUGACAGCACAAUAGUGCUCGCAUCAUUAUCAGAACUUAUCCACUUCUCUGAAAUUGCCUUCUGCCUGUGAAAUUAAUGACAGGCAUUUGUACAGUGACAGGCGGCACCCAAUACAACUGUAAUCUCUCUCCGACUGUGUCGCGACGCCGCACGGGACACGAGGAAAACAAAUGGAGAGACAACAGGGCUUGUCAUUAGUCUUGGCACGGACUCAAGGACGCAGAAGGGAUGCUUUGUGAGUGACAGUGGGGGAACAAUCUGCUUGCUGUUCUUCGUUUUUCAUGAUAGGACUCAUUCGGGAGUGGAAAUUCACAGGUGACUGUGCAGGCAGCAACAUCUUUAAAGUACAAACAACAUUGAGUGCUGUACACCAUUACUGCCUGUUUGUGUUUGGAGAGUGCAAAAGAAGAAGAAGGAGAAGAAUGUAAAAGAAGAAGAAGAAGAGGAGGAAGGAGAAGAAGAAGAGGAAGAAAAGGAAGGAGAAGAAGGAAAAGAAGAAGGAGAAAUAUGUAAAAGAAGAGGAAGAAUGUGAAAGAAAAAAAAGAAGAAAAAUGUAGAGGAAAAACAAUGUAGAAGAACAAUGUAGACAAAGAAGAAUGUAGAUGAAAAAAAGGAUGCAUAAGAAGACCAAGAAUGUAGAAGAGGAAGACUGUAAAAGAAUGAAGAAAAAGAAAGUAGAAGAAGGAGACCAAUGAUGAAGAAGAACAAGGAUGUAAAAGAAGUACGAAAGGAAGAAGAAUUAAGAAGGAGAAGAAGGAGAUUUAAGAAGGAGAAGAAGUAGAAUUAAGGAGAAGACGAAGAAGAAUGUAAAGGAAGAACAAUGUAAUAAAAGGAAAUAGGAAAAUGUAGAUGAAGAAGAAUUGAGAAGAAGAACGUAGAUGAAGAAAGAAUGUAGACGAACAAAAAGAAUGUAAAAGAAGAAGAAUGUAGAAAAAGAAGAUGAAUGUAAAAGAAUGAAGAGGAAAAAGAAUGUAGAAGAAGAAGACCAAGAAUGAAGAAGAAAAACAAAGAUCUAAAAGAAGAAUAUAGAAGAAGACCAAGAAUGAAGAAGAAGAAUGAGAAGAAUGUAAAAGAAGACCAAUGUAAAAGAAGAAUAAAGAAGAAAAAUGUAGAGGAAAAAUAAUGUAGAAGAAGAAUGUAAAAGAACAAGAAAGAUAUUGAAAAAGAAGAGGAAUAAAAGAGAAGAAGAAUGUAGAAAAAAAAGAGGAAUGUAAAAGACACAGAAUGUAAAAGAAUGAAGACAAAGAAGAAGAAUGUAGAAGAAGACCAAGAAUGAAGAAGAACAAGAAUGUGGAAGAAGAGGUAGAAUGUAGAAGAAUAAAGAAGAAGAAGAAGAAGAAGAAGAAGAAGAAUGUCGAUCUACUCAAGUUGAAGCCAUCAUCUAACCUGUGAAAUUUUGAGCAUACUCAGUCAGUAGCAUGUGUUUCCUCAGGGUGGUGCUAUGGCUGUAGUAGAGAAAUAGUUUCAUGAAUGUGUUCAGGGGUGAAUCUUGAUUAUGUUUAUGAAACAUCAAACAGUUUGAACCCGGCAUGAAUGAAUCAAAAUGACUUCCUGUUUCCAGUCCGCCACUUUCAAACUUUGGAAAAACUCUUUGAUAACUUUUUAUUUUCCAAUUUCGACAAGAUGCUACAUGAUGUCAGACCAUAUGUGUGUUAACAAUGAUAAAAUCUUAAAAUCAAUUGUGCAGAGAGAUUAAGUCAAGUGGUAAUGUGAUGCCCUUCGCUAAAACCAGUAAGAAGCCUGAUUUACUGGUGAUGGUCCCAUCAAGUACAAAGUCAAUUCAGCUGUCCAUCCAUCCAAUUUCUUCUCUUAAUGGGGUUUCAGGGGUGGCUAUCCCAGCUGCCAUCAAGCCAGCGGUGAGGUACACCCUGACGAGUAGCCAGCCCACCUAACAUAUGGACACAAUAACCACACACACACACACACACACACACAGUCGCAUCAACAGGCAAUUUAGCAAGACCAAUUAAGAAAGUGACACCUGAUUGCAAUGUGACCUACAUCCAAUACCUCUAAAACAAAAACAACACAGACAAGUUUCUGACCCAUGUUCAGCCAUCACAUGAUCCACAUCCCUCCUUGUUGUAGCGUCUUCUUCAGUUAUUGACGCUUUUUUCCACUUAAACAUCAAUUUUCAUGGGUAGUUUGGAGGGAAAUUGGCCCUUUUUUUUUUGCCCACACGGCUGUCAUAUCAUGAUUGAAUUCAACGUCAGCCCAAUGACUGAUUGCAUUUCUGAGAAAUGAUGUUUUACGUUGAGUGAAAUGUGCAUUGAGCUGUACCGGACUGCACUAACAAGUGUGAAAUUUUGAAUGACGCGAAGAGUUUAUGACUAAAAUCUUAUAUUAUGUGACUGCACAGAGGCUGUUUUGAUGAACCACAGUUCCAAUAAUGUAAAAUUGGUGCGACUGCUUUAGUAGAGUCAAAAGAUUUGACAUUUCUCUCCCUGAAAGCAGCCAGGCAGUUUAAAUUGAGAUAAUAUAUUACACGUCAAAGCCAUGAUAAUAAAUGAUUAUUUGCAGGCAAGGUAGAAAAACGGCUAAUAUUAAACAGAGAGAGAAAGUAUAGCUUUUACUUCAGCUCUCUGUCGCCUUUUCUUCCCUUCACCUUUGAUAAAAAGAGAUAUAAUGAAAAGAAAAGGAAGGUUUUGCAAGAAAGAAGGGGGGGGAUUCUUGUUGCCUGGCAACGUCUCUCUAGAGAGAGAGAUAUGUAUGUGUGUGGAUGUCAGUGUGUGCUAGAGAGAGAUUCUCCAUAGGCUAAUGUAAAAGCAGGCGGUGUAUGUGUCUUUGUUUAUUCGUGACCACGGUGGUCAAAACCGGUGGAAGAGGAGGGGGAACACGUGGCGAGCUGGAGCACCACAUCAAGGCAGCCUGACAGUGCAGGCAUUAGAGCUCUUCAGACAGAGGGGAUAGGUAUUUCAAAGAUCCAAUUAGGCCUGGACGUGUUUCCCAUUAAUCAUUAGUGCCGAGGCUCCUCGAACGGACAGAUGGGUAAGACACUCCUUCGCUUAAGAGUCACUGUCAGAAGCGAUUUUUUUCUGCCCCAACUCAAAUGGGCUCCUCAGGAGACUUUCUAUCUAAAUUUUAAAAUUAGAUAAAACGGGUGAAAUGAAAAGCUUUCUCUGAAGAAUAGUCCCCCACUUAAUGUCAUUUGGAUUUAGUUAGAAACUGACUGGGCUACAGACUUGGGGGACAGCGGCUUGGUUACACUGACUGUGCAAAUCAUGACAAAAUCCUUCAGAAAGCGAAACCUUUUAAUGCCGACUUGUCAAAGCAAGGCGCUAAGUCCAUGCCCUGAAGCUAGAAUAUGACAAGCAAGGUACUGCAUCAUCUUCAUUUUAGUGGGAAUUCCAAUUAAAAGUGGGGUAGGCGGGAUCUAAGAAAGUGCCAGUUUUGGGGAGAAAUCUUGAAUGUAAAUACAUUCCCUCCCAACCAGUUUCCCCCUUAGCUUCUCCUAUCCCCGCACAUAAACAGACCCUUGUUCUCUCUUGUAUCGUUCUAAUUAAAUUCAAAUAUAAUGCAGAUAAACACUUCAGAUAAUUACAAAUGGGGCCCAGUCAACGUGAAAGUAAAGAGCAUUGGUGCUACUGUAGAUGCCAACAGACUACCAACAAACACAAUGUUUGCAGGACUUCUACAACUACGAUAAAGUGACAUAGUCCAGGACCCGAGGUAAACAGUUUAGCGGCGCUACAACACGCAGCAGGUCCUGUUAGACAAGAAAUACUUCUGUUACAGACACUUGGCUUACUUUGUUAAAGCGGUUUACCUGUCCAGCAGAAAGGUUACAGGGUCCGUAAGGUCCCAAAGCGUCCCCCAUCAUUUAUGCUUCAUUGAUGUUGACCUGGCUUUUUAGCUCUUGUCCGGUCAACCUUCUUUUAAGCUGAUAUCGAUGACUAAUAGCUAUUGACUGAUAUUAAAAGCUUUAUGUACGUUACAAAAAAUCAAAAUACCUUUACAUAUUAAGUCCAUAUAUUUGCGCUUUUUUCCCCUGGAUCUUUAUGUACCUGAUACUUUUGCACAGCUAGUUUUUAUUCGAUUUUACAGGAUUGCUUUGUCCACAGGGGGCGCCAAAGCUGACACAAAUUAAAAGUUUUAAUUCUCUUCCAUCCUCUCUCCCAUCAAAAGUAUUUCUACUCUGCAGCAAGACCUCUUGAAGACACUAACAAUGCUUUCAAACAUAUUCGAGUGCACCGGGUUAAGCUUUGAAGAACUAAACGUGUUACAUCAUAAAAUGGAUUACAUGGGCUCGCACAAACCUUGCACCAUACAUCAACCCAUGCAAUGAAGCCGGGCUUCGAACACGCAUAUUGGAAGACAAAGUGUUUGAAAUGUCGGCAUUAAGGCGUGAAAUAUAUACAUAGAUUCAACAUGCAUGAAGAAGUUGCAGCAUGCCAUUCAAAUAUCAAAGAUACUCUCACUGAACCUUGAAAAUAAGGCGUGCAAAUGGAGUCUGAUUUGUUGCCCUUUUGCUCCGGCUGAAUUGCCUGUGAAUACCUGCUGCACUGCCGCGGGGGGAUUUGACGGGCAAUUUAAGAUGUGUUAAGACCAAAAAGGUUUUGUGUCAAAUGCUGGGGCUGCAGCACUGUCAGAGGGCAUCAGCUCAGAGGCUCAGAACUUUCACACCCCUGAUGGACGACAGUAAUGGAAAAGAGCAGAGAAGUGUGAUUUUUUGUGGAAACUGUCUGCUUUACAAUCUAUUUUUCCAAAUCUAUGCAUCUUCACACUUUUUAAAGAAAUUAGACAAAACGACGAGAACGUGACUCCAAAGCGGCGAAGAGAUUGGAUCCGGAUUAGCUGCCUCUGUAUAUGUUUGGCAGCCAAGAUAAAGCUCUUUACAUUUCAAUUUUGGGCAUCCACUAAAGAGUUUGUCACCACUGACCACAAAGGCAAAAGCAGCUUCUGUCAAUCUUAUCUGCGCUCGCAUGUACUCGUGCUUGAUUUUGAAGCCCAGUCCCAACCAGAGGAGAUAGAGCAGGGUUUCAACUAGAGGGUGGAAAGUGUUUCAUUGGAGAUAAAAACAUCUCGGUUGGCGAAAAAUGUUAAAAAGAUGAGCUCUCUUGUGAUAAUCGGUCAUUUAAUCAUGCUCUCCCAUCAGUCUGAAAAGCCAUUUGUCUUUUCCCCCCUCCAUUUUAUUUGAUUCCCGCAAAUGCACACUCCGGUCGAGAUGAACAUUUUGUUACUCAGAAAGACUCACGCUGUCAGCUCGGUGUAAUAAAGUGCCACUUAUUUAACAAAAAUCAUGUCCAUUUCACCCAAAAAUCUCUUUUCACAUCAAAUCGCUUAUCAUGCGUAAGCACCGUUUACUCAGUCGUCAUGGUGAAACGGGGUCCGAAUGGAGAAUUCUUGGAAGGGCCUUGAAAAGCUUUUCACCAUCUUGUAAUGCGUCCUCAAAAUGAUCCAGAGAUUGAAGAAUUCUGCCCAUUUAAACCAUUACAAAUCUCACAACAAUCACAAAUCCCAUUAAAUCAAGCGGCAUCUUACCAAACUUAGUUUCAAUUUUCUCCAGCUACUCAGGAAGAUGAUUUUUCUCUUUAAGGAGCAGCACCAAAAUUUGAAGAUUGACACGCUUGAUAUUACUGCCAAAAAAGAAGGCUUAAAAGCUUUGGUUGUACCUGCAUAGAUUUAUUUUAACAAACCAGUUAUUUUGUUGUUCCGUUAAAUCCCAAAUACUUCAAAAACUAACAGGAAGUGUGACAGCACCUGAGGCGAGAAGAAGGGAAAAGGUAAAUUUGUUGAUUUUUCAGUGCUUCGGUUUAAAAAAGAAAAAAGUUAAAAUCGCCAAGAUUUCCUACACUGUCAAACUGACUCAAAGGGAUAUUCCAGCGUAACACCAAGUUAGACACCCCCUCGAGUAAUAAAUGUUGCCGACCGCUUGCUUCUUUAGUUUUACCAACUUUAGUAACGACCGCACGAUGGCAAUACACAGCUGUCUCAGGAGCCACACAUGAACCGAAACCAAGUCGCCACUCUAUAGCCACAAAUAAUACUCAGAACAGCACCUAACUUCAUCAACAGUACAUAUAGGGUCUCAGCCAUAGUACUAGCCACCAAACAUCUUUUUAGCUUUGCCGCUUGUUUGUAGGGAGACCUUGGACAAGUCCAUCAUCAACUACGGUGGGGUGACGCAGCUCAAGAAAGAACAUUUAUAAUCAUUUCUUCAUGGAAAUGCAAUCAGACCGAGAUGCUAAGGCAGAAGAACUACAGAGUCUGCAGUGCAAUAUGGUUAAUAUUGAUGAUUAUUACUUCAAGGAAAUGAUAAAGAAAUUAUCAUAAAUGUUCUUCCUUGAGCUGCGUCACCCCGCUGCAGUCAAUGAUGGACUAGUCCGAGAAAACGGACAAUCGGUGUGGUUCAUUCGAUUUGUCUACAUAUUUUUAUGUUAUUUUAAAAACCUGCAUUCCCCCUUGGGUGUUGCUCAGUUUUAUAUUUGUAAGAGUAGAUCUUUUUGAGCACUGAAGAUUCUUACACUUUGCACAAUAAGGAAUGUCAUUUUAUUUAGAUUUUAUUUAUUUGUUAUUAUGUUAAUGUUUAUGCCACUGGGACAUUACUUUGUACUUUGUUAUUACUCGUACUAGUCUUGAUUACCUCUGGCUCUUUAAGGCCCCAUCUUUAAUUUUUUCAGUUUAUCGUUCCUCUGUUAUUUAAGGUUAAGGAAACGUUCAUUCUGCAUAUAGUUUUGAUUGUUUUUUUUUUAAUAAAACUUUGUUAAAUGAUUUCAUGGCGUGUAUAAAUACUUUUUAAACAUUUAACAUAUUUCCACAAUACCGUGAUAAUAUUGAUAACCUUGAUAAUUUGGGUCACAGUAAUCGUGAUGUUAAAUUUUCAUAUCGUUACAUCCCUACUUGUCAAGAGGAAAAAGCAUUGUACUUUCUUUAAGCUUUAAACUCGGUGAACUCGUUGACAUCUGAUGGUUUUUUAAGACCUGUAGCAGCUCCAGUAAUGAAUGCCUCACAUACUUUUGAGUCUCUGUCAGAUUCACUCCAUUUGUAAGGAUGAGAGAAGCCUUGAUGUAUUGAAAUGAAACUAUGUGUGAAUUUUUAAUCAAAUGUAUUGCAUUCAAUAUUUAUACAUCAGCCCCUAUAUGAAAUUGUGAAUUUUUUUUUUUUUUUACUUUCUUAUAUAUGUGAUCAGGCUGUUGUUGGAACUGUUGCCAGGAUGCCACUGCAGUGAUGGAAACAAUACGAAACGACGCCACACAGGAAUAAACGGUGUAGUGUGUUGCCUUUAAAACACAAAGCAGGUGGAUAUAAUUCUCUGCCUAGUUUGAUUAGAGAGUGAGGAGUCAGUAAAUGGGGUUUAAAUAACAAUGGUGUGAAAUUAAUUUAUCACUCAGCGGAACAAACAGACAGUUGUUAGGAAGGAAACGACUCUUCGCCACAUCCCAGCGUGAGCCAGCAUUUGAACUUAAUCAGAUAAUGGCUUCCCGGGCGAGCGUAAACACAUCGCUCUGCUCUCCAUUGUUCCAGGCUGAGCUUGUGAACAUGUCACGUUUUUUUUUUUUUUUUUUUCAAAUUCGCACUGAUACACUCGUUCGCACCUGGAGGCUGCCCCGGGGCAAGCGCAGAGAUGCGGCGCCGGACGGCUGAGCAGCUCUACCGAAGCGGUGGGGAGCCUGGAUGGAGGGCAGCGCGGUGUUAAUUGCCAACAGAGAGGGGAGCAAGAUCCAGUCACCUCGCAGUCUGUCAUAGAAUCGAAAGAGAUUGUGCUUUACCGGCCACAGGGAACAAGGACGACGCCACAAUGUGAAAACUUAUUCAUGUGCAUCGGUUAUUGACAGAAAGAAAAGCCUAUAUUAUGACAAUCUCUCUUUUGCACGCCAUCUGCACUUCAAGCCUGUUGCUUUUUCCUCUGUUAGAAGCUUAAUUAGUCCGUUGCUGAGCCACUGCUUGCCUCCGUACGCUUUAUGCCAUGAUCAUACACUUGGGCAUUGGGCAGCUGGUAUGCUCUCAAAGCAAUGAGUCAUAGCAGAUGAAAAUGUUUCACACUCAAACAAGGGCACAGAAAGAUAAUGGCCAGCUCUGGUGCAAAAGGGACGGGGACAAAGAUGAGCCACGGAGAAGAGUGUUUGUGUGCGUGCAUGGAUUUUCAUGGGGUGAUGAAUGAGUUGAAACAAAAUCACAGUGCUGAGUUAGCUUGUCUCCUCUUAUGGGAAGACAUUAUCCUUCCCUCUGUGUGUGUGUGUGUGUGUGCAGCUUCAUUUGUGUGUGUUUUCUGCUUCUGCAAACAAUCUCCUGCAGGGAGGGAGGGAGGGAGCAUCUAAGCGCCAGUGCUCUUUCUUCAUUUGUUUAUGCCUUGUGAAUGCAAAGCCCAUCCGACCUCGUGCGCACGACACUGACUUGCCCAAACUCAACAGCCUUGUUAUGAAACCCCUCUGGGUUCUAUCACAUAAGGCGAGCUGUACAUCGCUCGGGUCUAACCAUGCCUUAUUUAUGCGCCACCUCGGGCUUGCUGUCAGCCUAGGCAGUCCUCCCCCCCCCUAUGUAUCCACACUGUGCGAAUCUUUACAGUAACACGCUUUAUCUAAAACAGCUCUGUUCCACCCAAAAGCUGUUCUGCUUUCUACAGAUCCCCCCUCUUUUUCUCCCAUCCUUACAUAAACAACCUGCCCUCCCCUUCUUUUUCCCUCAACCCCCUGGAUAGCACUUCAUUAAAACCAAAAGUUUCAGGCAAAUUCUUGGCACUGAAAUUAAUUCGCAAGCAAAAUUUAAUGAUGGAGACAAAUUUUAGGGGGGUGGAAGACUUUUUUUUUUUUUUUUUAUACUUAAUUUUUUUUUGCUCAAGCAGCUGAAAAGACUUUGGUCUCUUGUGGGUUUUUCAGAGAAGACUAUCAAAAAGACAUUUGUUUUAAACACAAGCAGCCAGAGUGUUAAAUUCCAGUGCAGCAUUGUCAGAUACAGCUGAUAAUUUUCUUUUGCUCAAUAGCUGUCUAAAAACAGCCAGACAAACUUUAAAAAAAACACAACAAACUCAAUAAAAAACUGCCCAUAUAGGACCACUUAACAUCCCUCUUAAGCCAGCAGAAUCAGCCCAAAUAGGAAAACUUCAAAACCCUUUUAAAUCACUGAAAACAAGUCCAAUUAGUGUCGCCUCAAAUAGUGAUCAACUCAUCCCAAUUUAUGACUACCUUAAAAAUGUCCAAGUAUUAUUACAGCCCACCUUAAAACAAGUCCCAAAGACCACCUUAAAUCUCACCUGACUCAAUGGAAACAAUUCCAAAUUGUGACCCCCUAAAAAAAGUCCCCAAGUCCCACGAAGGACCACCUUAAAAUCCUGUCAAACAUAUCAAAAACAGCCCCAAAAAGGACCACAAUUUAAACUUUCCAACUCAGUUAAAAACUAAAUUACAGCCACCUUGAAACCAAACAUGCCUACUGAAAACCAGCUAAUAUAGAGACCACCUUAAAACUAGGGCACGACCAACAUGGAUUUUUUUGGAGCAGAUGCCAAUACUGAUUAUUAGGGGGGAAAAAAUCUGAUUACCGAUUAAUUGGCUUAUUUUUUUAAAUUUUUAUGAAGUUCUAGAAAAUACAUUUAUACUGUAGAUAUCUACAGUAUACUACAUACUUUAUACUAUAUACUAUACUAGAUAUACUGUAGGCUACUGCUCUUUACGCUGCCUCCGAUCGGUGUCUCCGCGUCUUAACUCACAUUGCUCAUUUACGGUCCGGUCUCAUCUGAAAACAUGCAGCUGCCUCAGUAAGAGAAGUAGCUCGAUCACGUAAUGUGUACUGUUGUCUAUUCUACCGCUACUGGCACGGCUAACAGUGUAGCAAGGCUAAUAGCAGGUGGCUAACUCUAACUUUAGCUUGCAUAUCACACAGUGCUUCACCGUUAACUCGGUGUGACCGAGACCAGCACAGCGGGGAACAAUCUACUGAAAACCAGUUAAUAUAGUGACCACCUUAAAACCACCAAACACAUGAAAACUCUCCCAGCACGAGUCAAAUAAAGACCACAGUAGACCCUCUUAUCUUACUGAAAAUUAGCCUUAUUUAUGACCACCGUAAAAUUGCCAACCAAUUAAUAAUAGCCCAACUUAAAAACCUGUCCAACUCCUGGAACUCCAGCUCAAAUUUGACCACUAGAAAACCCAUAAAACUCAAUAAAAAAACCUGCCUAACUUAUGACAUUUACAACACCCAGCCUUAAUUAUGACCAACCUAUAAUGUGCUCAACUCAGGUGAUAAACAGCCCAAAAUAUGACCAACCUGCCGGAGCAAAUUGAAAUAAACCAGAAUUAUAACCACUGUGAAAAUGUUAUCCAGAUCAAUAAAAAAACAUUAAAAUAGGACUUAAAACUAAACUGGAUUCCAGCUCUGAAUUCUUAAAAGAACCUUCAUGUAUAUCUCUUCUGGAUUGAAAUAAAAACAGAAUAACGUCCUUUAUCCUUUUCUAAACUACGUGGGGUUUUAAAGCUACUAUAAGGGUAUUUUAGCUUGAUAUAAAAGAAUCUCUUGGGGACCUAGAACAGCAAAUAUUCUCAUAUGUGCUCACCGCCUUUAAGCUGACAAGUUGUCCUCUCUGCUUUUAACUACACCGUCACUUCUCCCCUCAGCUCCACCGCUAGUGUCACCUUGUCACAGCAGGUAGGCGCUGUGAUGUUAAAAUGAUGCACAGAACCUGCGUGGCUGCGAAAUAAAAGCAGAAAUCGCAGCGUAUCAUCCCUCUGAUACCGCUUCAAAAGAGUUGACUAAGUUUUCAAAAGUCUAAUUUUAGCCUGGCAUAAUAUUCUGAAAAUGUGUUUUGUUGUUGUGGUUAACUCGGCCAACUCCUGCAGAUUUACUGGGUUCUUUCCAGCUCACACAAACACACACACACACUCUUUCCCACCAUCUGUGACCGACGGGAGUGAUGUGCUGCGAUCAGCUCCCUGGUGUAAGGAGCACACGGGAGCGUACUGAGUAGCAAACUCUUCCCCCCCUUACACCUCCCCCUCGACUUUUUUGGAGCCUCUGGCUAGUGCGCCUCGAGUCGAUAAAUGAUCUUCAGGGCCGCAGUGUUCAUGGAUGACGCGAUCUUGCACGUAAACACACACGAAAGCAAGAACAUGAUUAAUGGAGGAGAUGAUAUGAUGAGAAAAGUACAACUGCAGCUCAUUUGGUGCAGUGGGAAAUACUUUGUGUACACUGUGGCCUUCUUAUCUGAUAUGGAAAUGCUUAUGUGAUGCAGAGUCAGGUUCACACAGGAGCCUAAAGUCUGCCUGAAGCCCUGCGAAGGACCAUAGUUUACACCAGUGGUUCUUUACUGGUCUCACUCUGGGACCCACAUUUCACGACCCACUUUUAUAGAAUUCAAACGUAGCAAAUUUAGUUUUUUAUAUUAAGAAAAAAAACCUUUAGAGACCCAAAUCUUUAACACAAAUACACCUGUUUUAUUGAGUAAAGUACAUUUCAGAGCACAUGAACUGAGGACGACAACAACUGGAGUUGCGUGUACAGAAAAUAUCAAAUAUCAAAUAAAUAUCAAAUUGCACAAAAUAAGCUAUUUUUUAAAAUAAAAGACAUGUCAAACAUCAGAUGCGCAUUAAAUAUUUUCUUUUUUGACCAGCUGUUUGUGACCCAUCCAGAACGUGUCCGCGACCCAUUUUUGGGUCGGGACCCACAUGUUGAGAACCACUGGUUUAAACUAUAACAACCAACUGGACAUAGGACAGUUGGACAUCUACCACUUUUUAGCAAACAUGGAUGUUUGAUGAUGUUAAGACAAAAAGUCGAAACAGCGUUACUGUCUCGCUAGCGUAUCUAUUUAAACCCACCUAAAACUUGCUAACGUUGUUAGCUGACAGGAGAUUUGUCCAACUUAAGAUUGUUAUUAAUUCAACACAUGAUAAUUAUUAAAAAAUCUGGAAAAAACAUGAAAUUUAUAAGGCUGUUAAUAAUUUUAAUACAACAGAUAGUUAGGGUAACAUUAAAAACAAAAGGAUUUAAGGGUAAAUUUCCACGUUAGCAUCACUAAGUUAUUGCCGUAGCAUCACAACUCAAUUUUUGCUAACCAUAGCAUCGCAUCUUUAUUAUUUCACAUCAAGAUUCAAAAUUUUAAAAAAGGAAACAUUUUUAAUAAAGUCUCUAUACUUUGUUGUAUCUUAGCUCUAGCAUAAGAUUUAAAAAACUAUAAAAUUAGCUGCUAGCUAACAGUUAGCAUUGACAUUUAAACUAUUUUCAUCCAGCAAAAAUAGUUGAUGCCUCUGCCUGUAAAUACAGAUUUCAUAAAAACACACAUGCACCUUUAUGUUUCAUAUUCUUGUAUAUUAUAAUAUAGAAAAGGUGAAGUCUUUGCUAGCUGUAGUGUUAGCCUAGAAGUGACUGAAUGCUAACAUUUGCUGUCAGAUCAUAACUAAGUUGCUUUAACCUGAAAUAUGACUUUUGUUUCUCCAGCGAGUUUUUUUUCUCCAGAGUGAUGUCUGGAGAAAACGGCUGUCUUGUGAAUACGUCCCAUUCUUCAUACAACUUUCAAGUCCUAUAAAGAUAAAAUUAAUCUGCGUUGUCUUUUUUUUUUUUUUUUCUGCAACAGCAGCACAACUAGCCGUGGCAGCUAGCCAGGUUAAAGCCAUUUUUCUUUCUGUUCCAAAACUGGUUUUAUAGUCCUGCGGCUCCCCUUCUCUGACAAACAAAUAUAGUAGAUAAUUACAGAAUCAAGUUCAGCUACAGUAAGCAGUUAUAAUAACCUGUCAUAAAACCUACCUCUUUAUAAAUGUGGGGCUUAGGGUCACAAUAACAGUCCUGUGUCUUUCAACUUCUCUCAAUGUGCUUGUUUAUGUGUGCAUUCACACUGCUUUGUUGGGAAACAGUGUGAACAUAUGGUACCACCAGCAUCGCUUUACUUCACACUUGGUUUAUCCUCAGCUUAUAGAAUCGUAACACUUAGGAUAACACUUCUGUGGGGAGAAAAACAAAACACACACACACACACUUCUAGAUUGAAUUAUGAGCUGUUGUAUUGCAUAACCUCGUACACUGUUGUUCUCUUCAUUCUUCAUAUAAGUUGUUUUUUUAUACUGUAGCAUUAGUCCUCUGUGUAAACUCCUUCCACUCAGUGCUGGGAAAAAAAUCAAGUUAAAUCUUUGUGAGCUUUGAUAUAAAAUCUCAGUACAUUUACAACUUGGCACACCUCGCCUGUGAGGAUAUUCGAACUGAAUCGUUUACUACGGACAUGAAUAACAUUUUUGUCCAAUCAGGACAAGCCGAUUAAAUCGGCCGAUUUUAGCCCAUUUGAGACUAAUCAGUAAUCGGCCAAAACUCGCAGAUUUUUACCAAUAUUUUCAGAAAUAAAAUGCGGAGAAUAAGAUUCGGUUUAACUUCGAAUAUGUUCUGUCAUUUGAAAAGUUCCCCGACUUAUCCUGUAGAUACCUCAUGACAAUCUUCAUCCACUAACUACCUCACAGCACAGCAGAGUGACGGAUCUGAAGCGGACAGCUCAGGGACGUACGGAGGAGAGUGGUCCGCCUCAACGGUAAAUAAACCAGUUCGUGAAAUACACAACAAGUCAACAAGUUUCAGUUCAACCCACUUCACGAUGUUCCCCACUGUGCUGGUCUCUGUCACACCAAGUUAACGGUGAAGCACCAUGUGAUAUGCAAGCUAAAGUUAGAGUUAACCACCUGCUAUUAGCCUUGCUACACUGUUAGCCGAGCCACUAACGGUAGAAUAAACAACAGUACACAUUACGUGAUCGAGCUACUUCUCUAAAGCACCGAUCAGUCAGUCUUCCUGUCGGCGUUAAGAGCAGUAGCCUACAGUACAUCUGUACCGUAGAUAUCUACAGUAUAUGUAUAUUUUUUUAAAACUUUAUUCUACUAGAUUAAUCGGUAAUCAGAUUAUUUUCCCUCCCUAAUACCAUAUUUUUCGCACUAUAAGGCACACUGAAAAUCCUUUUGGCUUGUUGGAGCAUUGCAGCUACCGUAUCCUCGCGGAGUUACUGAAUGAGUUAAAUAAAGUGUGACUUAUCCGACUGUUCUGUUUGGCUUAAUGCGCUUCAUAAUCCGGUGUGCCUUUUGUAUGAAAAUAGACGUGAAUAGACGCGUUCAUUGAUGGUGCGCCUUAUAAUCAGGUGCGCCUUACAGUGCGAAAAAUACGGUAAUCGGUAUCGGCCCCCAAAAAUCCAUAUUGGUUGGGCCCUACUUUGCACACCUCCCCUGUGAGGAUAUUUGAACUUAAUCGUUCACUACGAACAUGAGUAACAUUUUGUGCAAUCAGGACCACCCCUUGCAUGCUCACAGGACAAAAAAAAAUCCAUGGUCCAAAGUCCGAAGGUCACUAAGGACUUGGUGUCAGAAGUCCUGAGUUGUUUCAUUCAUCUGAAAGAGCGAGGCCGAAGGUGAAUCCGAUUUAAAUAAAUUACAAUCCCCUGCUACAUUGUAUGUCCUUUCAGGUGAGCAGAAUAAGGUUAAAUAUCCUGCAGUACAGGCACGGAGGGAACAUCACUCAGCAGAGGUGACAUAUCUAUCCUGGUGUAAGUGGUUUUGGGUUGAGAAUUGGUCGAGGGGUGUAAUAACAUCAUAUUUCAUCGUAUUGAGCGGUCUUUCAGCUCUGUGUUGUGAUGAAACCCACGAAUAGUGAGACAUCUUUUGAAAAAUGUGCCGUGGCCAAUUUUUUUUUUUUGCUCUUAUUCGGAUGCAAUUUUCUUUUUUUAAUUGAGUUUUUAAUUUUUUUUUUUUGGCAAAGAGGUCACCCGAGAGUUACGCCUUUCAGGUCUCUAGCGAGGGGGGGGAAUACAGCUUAAUUGAGUUAAAAAGGUGAAUAAAAACUUGAAGCAAUAAUUAGUCAAGAGAACACAACAAAGCAUAGAAGGAGGAUGGAGCUUAUUGUUUAAUUUAUAGGGAGUCCGAGAUUUAGUGGAGGCACUUGAGAAUUCCUAUUCGUCUACUAUCUUUCUCAUUAAAUUAGCACUUAAUUAAGACUCAUCUAGCUCCUUUCCUGACAUGUUCAGGCUUUCUCUUCUUUCCUCUAUGCAACUCUUGUGAUAAAACACAAAAGUUAAAACUUACAGCGUAAGCACUAUAGAGCUCCCCCACCUCCCUUGCUUUUGCUCCCGAGCCUCCCGCAGACAGCUUUACCCCAGGGCCAGCUAACGAACGGCCUGCCCAAUGAACCAAAACGGCUAAAUGACUUGUUGUUCCGGCGCCGCGCAUCAAAGCCAGGUGCAUUUAUGGCACUGCAGACGACGGGGGUUGAAGAAAUCCGAAGGAAUGCUGCUUGUUAGUGUCAGUGUGUCAACUCGGCUGUGAAAAAAAACGAGAGGGGAAAUGUAUCAGGGCAGGAGGAUCAAGGUAAUAAAAUCAAACCGGAACUAAGGUAGGUCGUGGGGGAGGAAUGAUAGGGAUGGCGGCGCGGCCCCAGUGGGUGGCAAUCUUGGGUUUGCUAGACUUAAGGUUUUUAUUGCCGUUUUAUUGAUGUUGAGGUAAAUGUCAGGUUGCGGCAAAGAGGUGGCAUUAUUUCAGUAUCAAUAUGGGAUGAAGUUAAAGAAGAUGGAGAGAAAAGAGGAGGAGUAGAUCCAGAGGUAGAGUGAUGUGGCGUGAUAAUACACUGGACAAAAACAACCGGUAUCCGGAAAGAUCUAAGAAGUUCGGAUUGAUUUGUCACAUAAUAACUUCAGAGAUAUCACUCUGAGAUUACAUCUGAUAAAGGUUUUGUCUGCGUAGGAUUUCUGUUAUGUAGCAUAUUGAAUUUAUGUGUCACAAAGGAAGCAGACCAAGCAGACUGGUCUCAUUUAGCAUUUCCAGGAAGCAGCACAGAGCAGGAAAUAUGAAGAAUGUUAUCUGAGAUAUUUGAAGUGAUUUACAAUGCUGGCUUGGGAGGAAUUCAGCUUUCAAAUCUGGGGUUGUGUUAUUCUAAAGUGACACAUUUUGCAGACUCCAAUUAACAAAGAUAAAUUGAGAUAACAUGUUUAAAAGUAAAGCAUGUUAAAUUUCAGUACAGUCUUCUUGAACUUCAAAGCUCCUGAGUUAUUUUCAUGUCGAUAAAAAUAGACUGAAAUUCAUUUAUAUUCCUUUGCAUGACAUCUAAAAGCAAAAAAGAGCAUCAGUGACAAGAUUGAUGAUUUUUAUAUAAUGAUUUUUGAUGGUUGAAGUUGGAGUUAGAGAGUAGGCAUCAGUUCAGUUUCCACAUGCAGUGAUAGAUACUUUUGAUUAGGGCCUGACCAAUUUAUUGGCGAACUGAUUAAAUCGGCCAAUUUUAGCCCAUUUGAGACAAAUCAGUAAUCGGCCAAAACUUGCCGAUUUUUGCAGAUACAGUAUUUUCAUAGAUAAAAUGCGGAGAAUAGGAUUUGGUUUCACUUUGAAAAUGUUCCGCCAUUUGAAAAGUUCCACAACUUAUCAUGUAGAUGGCGCAGUGAGUUAACGGAUCACCAUGUAAUAUGCAAGCUAAAGUUAGAGUUAGCCACCUGCUAUUAGCCUUGCUAAACUGUUAGCCGCGCCAGUAACGGUAGAAUAAACAACAGUACACAUUACGUGAUCGAGCUACUUCUCUUACUGAGGCAGCUGCAUGUCUCCAGAUGAGACCGGACCGGAAAUGAGUAACAUGAGUUAAGACGCGGAGGCACCAAUCAGCAGCGGGGGAGGU